GGAAAAGAAACCAACAGGGAUUGCCCUAGUAACGGCGAGUGAAGCGGCAAGAGCUCAAAUUUGAAAUCUGGCUCCUCCGGGGUCCGAGUUGUAAUUUGCAGAGGAUGCUUCGGGUGCGGUCCCCGUCUAAGUACCCUGGAAUGGGUCGUCAUAGAGGGUGAGAAUCCCGUCUGGGACGGGUGGCCGUGUCCGUGUGAAGCUCCUUCGACGAGUCGAGUUGUUUGGGAAUGCAGCUCUAAAUGGGUGGUAAAUUUCAUCUAAAGCUAAAUAUUGGCCGGAGACCGAUAGCGCACAAGUAGAGUGAUCGAAAGAUGAAAAGCACUUUGAAAAGAGAGUUAAACAGCACGUGAAAUUGUUGAAAGGGAAGCGCUUGCGACCAGACUCGCCCGCGGGGGUUCAGCCGGUACUCGUACCGGUGUACUCCCCCGUGGGCGGGCCAGCGUCGGUUUGGGCGGCCGGUCAAAGGCCUCCGGAAUGUAUCGCCCUUCGGGGCGUCUUAUAGCCGGGGGUGCAAUGCGGCCAGCCUGGACCGAGGAACGCGCUUCGGCUCGGACGCUGGCGUAAUGGUCG
rnacentral:rRNA from 2 species